ensembl:misc_RNA Vault Vault RNA
GGGCUGGCUUUAGCUCAGCGGUUCCUUCGGUCUCAUUUCCAGACUGUAGCUGUCCUUUCGAGGGUGGUUCGAGACCCGCGGGCGCUUCCCAGCCUUUUU